rnacentral:rRNA from 1 species
GGGUGAGUGGCAGACGGGUGAGUAACGCGUGGGAACGUGCCCUUCAGUUCGGAAUAACCCAGGGAAACUUGGGCUAAUACCGGAUACGUGCGAGAGCAGAAAGAUUUAUCGCUGAAGGAUCGGCCCGCGUCUGAUUAGCUAGUUGGUGGGGUAAUGGCCCACCAAGGCGACGAUCAGUAGCUGGUCUGAGAGGAUGAUCAGCCACAUUGGGACUGAGACACGGCCCAAACUCCUACGGGAGGCAGCAGUGGGGAAUAUUGGACAAUGGGCGCAAGCCUGAUCCAGCCAUGCCGCGUGAGUGAUGAAGGCCUUAGGGUUGUAAAGCUCUUUCAGCGGGGACGAUAAUGACGGUACCCGCAGAAGAAGCCCCGGCUAACUUCGUGCCAGCAGCCGCGGUAAUACGAAGGGGGCUAGCGUUGUUCGGAAUCACUGGGCGUAAAGGGCGCGUAGGCGGCUUUGUAAGUCGGGGGUGAAAGCCUGUGGCUCAACCACAGAAUUGCCUUCGAUACUGCAUGGCUUGAGACCGGAAGAGGUUAGUGGAACUGCGAGUGUAGAGGUGAAAUUCGUAGAUAUUCGCAAGAACACCAGUGGCGAAGGCGGCUGACUGGUCCGGUUCUGACGCUGAGGCGCGAAAGCGUGGGGAGCAAACAGGAUUAGAUACCCUGGUAGUCCACGCCGUAAACGAUGAAUGCCAGCCGUUGGCGAGCUUGCUCGUCAGUGGCGCAGCUAACGCUUUAAGCAUUCCGCCUGGGGAGUACGGUCGCAAGAUUAAAACUCAAAGGAAUUGAC